rnacentral:lncRNA from 1 species
GAACUAAAGAACGCUUGGAAGCGCAGCAAACGUGUGACAGCGCCUCUGUCUGGUUUACGGUAACUGUGCGGUGAAGCUUACCCGUGUGACAAGGGUAUGAGACUGCGGAUGUGCACCACGAGGCCGGUUUUUCGAGAACAGGACGCAUUGCAGUGGACACAGUUGAAGCAACGCUCCCGUGUGUGAGUGCUCAUGUGCUGAAAGGCUAGCCUUUCAUCACAAACGAGGCAUUUCAAUGGACACAGGAAAAGGGACGCUCUCCAGAGUGCGUGCGCAUGUGUCUCACGAGGUUCUUUUUCUGCACAAAAGCUGCAUUGCAGUGGACACAGGAAAAGGGACGCUCUCCUGUGUGCGUGCGAAUGUGUCUCACGAGGUGGUAUUGAUGCAAAUAGGAUGCAUUGCAGUGGACACAGGAAAAGGGACGCUCUCCUGUGUGCGUGCGUAUGUGCCUCACGAGGUCGUAUUUCUGCAAAAACGAGGCAUUGCAGUGGGUACAGGAAAAGGGACGCAAUGCUGUGUGCGUGCGC